AUUGAACGCUGGCGGCAUGCCUUACACAUGCAAGUCGAACGGCAGCACGGGUGCUUGCACCUGGUGGCGAGUGGCGAACGGGUGAGUAAUACAUCGGAACGUACCUUAUCGUGGGGGAUAACGCAGCGAAAGCUGUGCUAAUACCGCAUACGCCCUGAGGGGGAAAGCGGGGGAUCGUAAGACCUCGCGCGAUUAGAGCGGCCGAUGCCUGAUUAGCUUGUUGGUGGGGUAAAAGCCCACCAAGGCGACGAUCAGUAGCUGGUCUGAGAGGACGAUCAGCCACACUGGGACUGAGACACGGCCCAGACUCCGACGGGAGGCAGCAGUAGGGAAUUUUGGACAAUGGGGGCAACCCUGAUCCAGCAAUGCCGCGUGAGUGAAGAAGGCCUUCGGGUUGUAAAGCUCUUUUGUCAGGGAAGAAACACCGGCUCUAACACAGUCCGGGAAUGACGGUACCUGAAGAAUAAGCACCGGCUAACUACGUGCCAGCCGCCGCAGUAA
rnacentral:rRNA from 1 species